rnacentral:snRNA from 1 species
AGCUUUGUGCAGUGGCAGUAUUGUAACCAAUGAGGUUUAUCUAAAGCGCGAUUAUUGCUAAUUUAAACUGGGUCUCACCAUGUAGCCCAGGCUAGCCUCUAAUUUGUAAUCUUCCUGAAU